GAGAGAGAGAGAGAGAGAGAGAGCACGCACAGGUGUGCACGAGCAAGGGAGAGGGAGGGAGAGAGCCCAAACAGGCUCCAUGCUGUUAGCGCAGAGCCCAACGUGGGGAACCAUGAGAUCACGAACCGUGAGAUCAUGACCUGAGCCGAAAUCCAGAGUUGGAGGUUUAACUGGCUAAGCCACCCAGGCGCCCCAACGGUGAAUUUCCUAAGAACGAGGAUAUUCUUUUACACAAAAUCAAAAUCAGGAAAUUUACAUCAAUACUUAAGGUACAAUAUGUAUUAAAUUUAUCCAAUUGUUCCAAUAAUAUUCUUUAUAAUACUUUUUUAGUUUAAGAUCCAACCCAGGAUCACACAUUCCUCUUUAACUAUCAUAUCCCCUUGGUUUUAAAUUCAGAACGGUUCCUCAGCCUUUCUUUCUCUUCCAUGACAUAGAUAUUUCUCCAGAGUAUAGGCCAUUUUGUAGAAUGUCCGUCAGCUUUGUGUAGUGUGAUGUCUUCUCAUGAUUAGAUUCAGGUUAGGUGUUUGUGGACAGGAGUUUCAGAGAAGUGAUGCUGUAUCCUUCUUAGUGCAUCCUACUGGGAACCACGUGAUGUCUACUUGUUCCAGUAUUGGUGACAUUAACUUCAAAAACUUGGUUAAGGAGGUGUCUGCCAGGUUCCUCCACUGCAAAGUUACUGGUUUUUUCCCUUUAUCAUUAACAAGUAAUUUAAGGAGAGAUACUUUAAGCCUGUGAAUACACUGCUCUCACCAAACUUUUCCAUCUAUUGAUGUUCUUGACUGAACCAGUGAUUAGUAUGGUGGCUGCAAGAUGGAAGUGUUGGUUCUGAUUGUAAGGCUGGUGUCACUAUUUCAGGAUGACAGGGCAGGAUGGAAGGGAGGAGGGAGCUAGAGACAACAUCUAAUCUUGUAAACAGUUGGUUUCUCAAAUGUCUGUUGUGGAAAGUAGGUGACUGGUAUUUACUUUCUAACCCUACUAAGAAAAAAACUAAAGAAUCAGAGUGGAUUUUAAAUGAUAAAAGGUGUUACUUCCUAAUAGAAUAAUGAUUUCCAUUUAACUAGCACUUAGUAAACUUCAAACACCACGUGAGCCACUUAGCGGACGCUAUUUCCCUAGUCCUGUAACAACUCUAGUAGAGGCUGUUGUUCUCUUCAAUUUAUAGAUGAAGAAACUAAGGCUUAGAAAGCCUAAGGUGUUUGCCUGAAGUCAUACAGCUAAGAACUGGAAGUCUGGAUUCCGGCUAAGAUCUGCUGGGCUGCAAAGUUCUUACUGUUUUUGGUGGGAAGGAGCUCAUGACAUUCAGCCUCGACAUACAUUCCAGGCAGGGCCAAUUUUCAACUAAUUCCCAGCUUACAGCUGCGGUCUGCUCCCAGGAGUCCGAGUUUUGCAAAGAAGCUGUGAGGCCUCAGUGUAGUUAUCUUCUGGCCUCAGCCACUGGUCCUUGAGCGUUAGCAGCUCCUUGGCUGGGAGUGGCCUGAGAGACCUCCCAGCCUGCUCAGCUGCCGCCCGCAGAGCCCAGGUGGCAGAGUCGCCCCCAGACAUUGACUCAUCAGUUCCCCUCACCCAGCAUUGCUGCGUCUCCUGUGCUUAGAAAGGCAGGAAACUGGAGGCCAGUACUUUAGAAAGUCUUACAACAAUAAGCUUGAUUAAAAGGGGAUUUUCCAGUUAACCUUGGAGAAUCUCAGUUAACCAAUGCCUUAUUGUAUUCUCGUUCUGUCAAAUGUGGUAAUCUAUGUUCAGUGUGUAUUUAUGGUAAAUCUCAUAACCAGACGAUUUACUUCAAUGGCAUUUCCCCCACCAUUCAGGAUGAACUGAGGAACCACGGAAUUACCAAGUUGAAAAGGCUUUGGGGAUCAUUUAAUAGGAUCCUUCGUGUACAGAUGAGGAAACUGAGGCCCAGACAAAGGAGGUAACUUACCCAAGGUCACACAGCUUCUUACCGACUCAACUGUAACUAGAUGCUCCCCGUCCAAAGUGCUUUCUGCCAUGUCAAGAAUAAUUACGAUGCAGAAAACCUUUAUGUCCAGGGUUACCUACAGGCCGAAUUUAGCCUGCGGUGGUGUUGUGUUUGGCUUGCACAGUGUUUUAAAAGUUGGGAAAUUUUCCAUAAAAAUCCACAUUUGUUUCUUUUGAAAAGCUGGAAAAUCUAGUUGUACCUGGCCCAAUGGCAAUGAAGGAGGACCGAGUAGCAGCCACCCCUCCAACUGGGUACACGGGAUGUAGAUGCCAUCUCCCAUCACCCUGUCAUUGUAUACUUGGCCUGUCUUCAUGACCUGCUGGUCCCUCUGGGCAUUGGAAUUUAGGUUCUCUGCUUUAUGGUGAAGGGCAUUCCUUGGUUCAUAAAAAAGAGGGCUGAAAUGACCCAGACCAAAUAGGGGACACACUGAGGAGUCAGAAGCACUCGUGUUAAGUGCCAGGGUGCAACACCAGGGGUCCUGGUUGGUCCUGGGAGAGCUCAGAUCAGGGGCUGAGAAAGAGCUCUAGGGGCUUCCAAUUUAGGUGAAAAAUGUGAGAUGCUAAAUAACAAUAGGAGAGAUACCUGGCAAGAUCAGAUGCCCUGGCAAAGUGACUGGAACAGGCAAGAUGAGCUAAAGUAGUUCAGAUGGUUGAGAAAGCUAUAAUGGAAAUGGGUCUUGACUCAGAAGUUAAUCUACUUAAAAAAUUUUUUUUUAAUAUUUAUUUUUGAGAGAGAGACAGAGUGCAAGCAGGGGAGGGGCAGAGAGAGAGAGGGAGGCACAGAAAUCUGAAGCAGGCUCUAGGCUCUGAGCUGUCAGCCCAGAGCCCGACGUGGGACUAGAACCCACGAACCUCAAGGUCAUGAUCUUGCAGACACUUAACCGACUCUGCCACCCAGGUGCCCCAGAGUUGACCUAUUAUAAAGAAUGGAGAACCUAUGGGUAGAAAAAGUAGCCAGGAAGCUACUGCAGCCAUCAGAGCUGAGAUCUAGUGAACGGAAGUGGGAAAGGGAAGGAAGGGAUGGAUGCCAGAGAGAUCCCAAAGGGAUGGACAAGAUUUGGCGCUGGUGUGGAGGUGGGAGGAGAAGGCAGAAGAGUCAAAGUUGAUGGCACCUUUGUGCCUGGGUGACCAGGGGGAUGUCAUACCCCAAACAGAAAAGGGAAGCCAGGAGGGAAAGCUGACUUGGGCGAAGAUGAAGAAUUCAUUUCUAGAUAUGUUGAUUUUGAGAUGACAACGGCAGGUGAAGCUGGGAUUGCCACUCAAGCUGGCAGUGCAGAUGAGAUAGCUGAAACCACCAGCAUCACUGCCACCAAAGGGCAGAGGGCAAAGGGUGGGGGAACUGAUGGCAAUGUGAUGAGCCCUGGGCAUAGCCACCCUUAGAAAGGUGCAGAGGAGAAAGAGAGCCAAUGUAGAGAAAGAGCAAUCAGAGAGGCAGAAAGAGAACCAAGUUGGGGUAUCGCUGUCGAAGCUCAGGAGAAGAGAGCUUGAGAAGAGCCGUGUCUAAUGUCAGGAAAUAGGUCCAGAAGUCAAGAGAACAGGGAACUGAGAAAAGGUCCUGGAACUGGACACUGAGGAGGGCAUCACACUGAGAACGCAUAUUUAGGAAGUAGAGGUGACUCUGGCACUGUAGAGGCAUCUCACAGGGCUGGGGGAAGAAACUAAGACAAUCGACAGUGGGCACCUUAGGGACCAAGGAAGGGGGGGUAGGGAGGCAGGUCUGUAGGUGGUAGGGAAGGCUUCCGUAGAGAGAGGAAGAGAACGAGGGGCCCUUUUAACAGGUGUGGGAAAAGGAGAGCUUCUGAAUCCAGAGCCAGAUUACAAAGGCUGAUUUCCAUGCUGGCUGCUUCAUUUGCUUGGGGAUGGGCUCUUGACUUCUCACUCAUCAUUCUGGAGCUAUCUCACGUCACUUCCUUAUUUAGGACUCAUUUUUCCCAUCAGCAUUAAAAAUGAAAACAAAAACUUUAUUGGGUGCUGCCUGGUCUGCAGGGCAGCAGACGAGGUCUGAGUGACUGAGAAGUAAACUGGACCCCGCCCCUCCCUUGGCAGAGAAAUACCUUUGAGAGCUGCCUCCCUUUGCACUGCCUCACUUAGUCCUGUGAGGGAAACUUUAUUAAUGGAGUUCCCACUGUGCAAAUGAAAUGGAGGCUCAGGGACGUCAAGGUACAAAGCUACCAGGUGUUGGAUUCCAGUGCAAAUCUGCUCAAGUCCAAGUGCCACGUCUCUCCUACCACCACUUAGACAGGGCCCAGGAAAUAAAGUAGACCGGAGAUGAGGGGCGAGUCCACUACCCCAAGUAAGCACUUUACAGUCUGACCUCCCUUAGCUCAUUUGGGGGUGAAAUCUUUGCACAUACAAAGCCGCCUUUAAAAACACACCUUGAUUAAAUAUAAAGAAGCAGAUCACCGAGGAGGAGAGAAAAGGAAGAAGGGAGAAGUGAGUCUGGUUGGGAGGAAACUGGCAAGAGGAGCUGCUCUAUGAGAUGCUCUAUGGGGACCUCUGAGCUGGGCUGUUGACCUAGGGUCUUUGGACACCUAGAGUGGCAUACAGGACCCUGACAUUAUGAGAGAAUUUCAGGGUCUGUGUGUGGAGGGGUGGGGGGGGGGGGGUGGGGUUGCAUUGAGGACACUUCCUGGGGAAAGGGUGCAUAGCUUUCAUCAGAUUCUCAAAGGGGCUUUUGUCCAAAAAAGACUUGAAAACCACCGAUUCCCAAGCAUCUACCGAGACCCAGUGGCAUAAUUUAUACCUGGUCCCUGUCAUUUUUUUCUAAACCCUUGCCUAGAGAUCUAUUCUAGCGAGCCUUUCAUCGGUCCCGGGGUGGGGAGGAGGGGGGUGUAAAGCCCUCCUCAUAAAGCCUCCUUUGGGGCCGUUGUGGCUGAGUGACUCCCUGAAGUCCCCGGUGCUGCGCAGCGCGGGGCGCAGGGGUGGCCGCCCAGGGAAGGGUCGCAUCGCCGCUUCCAGGGGGCGGGAGGGGGGAGGCUGCGGGAGCCGGAGCGGAUGUCACGGCUUACCUCAGAGCCCGAAUUAGAAGGCUGAAAAAAUCACAGCAGGAAAUAAUGUGGUGCCUAAAAUAGAAGCAUCAACUGGGAGAGAGGCCGGGGAGUAGGUGGCAUUUGAGGCUCCUGCCGAGUCCUCCCCAGCGGCUGCCUGACUAGUGCGUCGGAGGCGCGUGUGGAUGCAAUCAGGACAGAAAAGGCCAGAAUAGGCCAGAAAGGCCGAGGCUGCCUUUCUGCUGAGGAAGGGGGGCUGCUCAGUAAACAGACACUCAGAUGGGACGGCGGGGCCGCCCUUUCCGGCCCGCUUGCCUCCCUGCUGGUUCCUUCUCACCUCCUCCUCCUCCUUCCCUCCCCCCUCUCAAUAUCCCCUCCCCCACUUUGGUCUCCUGCCUUCCCCGCUGCCUCCAGCCUCCUCCUCCACCCACUGCCUUCCUCUUAACCCUCCCUUUUUCCCCCCUCCCCCUCUGUUUUUUCCCACACGAGCCCCUCCAUCGCUCCCCUUUCCCCCAAAGCCCUGCCUGCUUUCCUCCUGGUGUCUGGAUUGCCAGCAGCUUGACCUCCACACCGGAAGCUGCCGGGAGGCCCUUAGUGCCUUCCUAGGCAAUCCAAUCAGAGGUCGUUCUAGGAGCAACAACCCUCAAGGUCAGCCUCCCUGGGCCUGACUGCAAGACCCCUCCACCACCCCUGACCCAGUCACCACCCCCAUCUCUGUGAGACUGUCAAAGCCUGGCGCCUGCAAAAAGGCCAGCAGGGUGGGUGUUCUUUCACUGGACCACUCUCUCCAGAGGGGUUGAGCCGAAGCAAAAACUCUGCCUGCAGAUGGGGGCUGGCCCUCCUUCCAUGGACACAUCCACGGAUGGGGACCCUCACAGAGGUUCCCUGACUGACCAUAGGGUUUGCCAGGCAGGGGGCCGGCUGCUGCAGUAGGGGCUGAGACACACAGCCACAUACAAAAAUAGUACCUGGCCAGCCUUUACAUAUUAACUCUCUUAAUCCUCACAACAACCCCCUACUAGAAAAGUAGGUACUUUUAUUAUCCCCAUUUUCCACGUGAGGAAACUGAGACACACAGAAAUAAAUUAAGUUGGCCAUGUUCACAGAGCUAGGCCAGUGGAAGGGCCAGGAUUUGGGCCCCCAGUGGUCUGACUGCAGGGUCCCUUCUGCUGAACUUCACCUGCUGUUAUUGCCUCUUAGCUUAGUGCCCUUCUACUCAGCUUUUCUUUCUAAAAAUGAUUUUUGUUUUGUUGUUUUUUUUUCCCUGAAAGUAAGCAUAAGAUAUUUGAGAUUCUAAGCGUUAUGGGUGCUUUGAGAUUUCAGUUCUUAAAAAAAUCAGAUACUCUUAAUUUUUACUUCUCUGGGUGUUUUUCCCCCCAGCUGUUGCUCUACUGAAAAUAAGUGCUCUCAUUUUUGCCAUUUUCAAAUGCUGUGCGUCCUUGUCACCAUCUGGAAUGGAAUGGGCAUUCAUUCGUGCUCAAGUGCGCUGCCCACACACGUACAUGCGCCUCUGGUUCCCUCCCUCAUUAUGCCUUUGCACUGCUCCUGGGUUAAUGGCUUAUGAUUUGCCAAACAGAAUUCUCAGGAAAGGUAUGUGGCUAAUGUGGCUUCAAAUGGGCUUUGUUCCCUGGGGCCUGGGAGCUAAGUGGGAAUAAGUGGUAAGAAGUGUGGCUAAGGUUGUGGGUUAGGGGACUAAAAGACAAGUCAGAAUAAAAGAAUAAUAUAUAGUUAACAUUUAUUAAUACUUACUAAAUGCAAGGCAUUGUGCUAAGCAGUCUUAUAGGGAUGAUCUCAUUGAAGUGACACAAUAGCCUAUGUUAUUAGUAGUGUCAUCCUGGCAUUCAUUAAUAGUAUCACCACCAUUUGACAGAAAAGUCAAGGUUGGGUAAGGCUUAGCAUGCACUGAACCAGCACUCUGGUUCAACAGAUUAAAAGGAGGUGCUAGUUUUUGCAAGCUUUUUUUCUCUCCGAGAUAUCCGGAAAGAUCUUUGUCAUCGUGCUGAUUAUACAAGUACUACGCUCCCUGUGAAGAAUUAAAGCAACAGAGAAGUGUGCAAAGUAAAAUAUAGAAGUCCUUCCCCACGGCGUGCCUCUGCAUAGACUCUGACACACUUGUACAUAUCACACUGUCGUGCUCUUCAGGGGACAUCUUUGUGUGUGUCCGUACACACUUGAUUGUCAUUUCCAAAAGUCAGCGGGGAGUUGGUGGGCCAGAAGCUUGGAACGCUUAUGUUUUGGUCAUUCGUUGAAAUGGACAAGUUAUGAUUUCACUUUAAGCCAUGAUGUGCAAUGAAAGGCGAGGAUGCAGUGUAAGUAGACCCUUGUGUUAAUGAGUACGGUCUUAGAAAAAGCGAUUUGUUAUUAUGUCCUGGGAGACUUACCAAUGUUCAUGCUUUUUGCCUCAGAGCAAUUCCGCUUAUGGGAGUGUGUGUCUGACCCAAGCAAAUAAGUAAGUGAAAAAGUAAUAUUUAGCAUUAGGAGAGUGAAACUUUGGGCAUGACUUAAAUGCCUUUCAGUAAAGAAACGGUUAAGUAGUAAGUGGGAAAAAAUGACUACCAUCUUUUUUUGAGGGAAUAUUAUAUGCUCACUAAAAAUGAUGGUUAUGAAGACUCUAGUAACAUGGUGAAAAUGCUUAGAAGGUAAAGUCUAAUGAAAAAAGUAGUUCACACAGUUAUAUGCACGUAUGAUUACAUUUGUCUGAAAAGAAACUGUAAAGAAAUAGCAGCAAAAUGAUACCAAUGGUUAUAUUAUAGUGUUGGGAUUAAUGUGGUUUUCUUUGUCAUUCUUUCUGUAAUGUGGUUUAUUUUUGUAGCAAAAAUUAUGUUUGUUUAAAUACUGGAAAAUGGAUGGAAAUUGUCAAAGAACUCCACUUCCUUUCUCCUCCCUGGA